GAGGUUGCCUGGAAGCAUAAAUGUCACCUCCAAAGGGACAGUGGACCUUAAAGGAGCAUUUCAAGUUCUGUGGACUCAAAGUGAUUUGCAGACAUCCUCAACGGUGAGGCUCAUGGUGACCACUCAGUGCUCUUACCAUGCAUCCAUCCAGAUCCCUCUGUCCCACCGGCUGCCCUAGGGGUGAAGAAGAUGGGCUUUUCCAGCGUGGAUUAUCAUCUCGCCCUGUGUCCUCCAGAGCCGAAACAGGAAGCCCCGCUUCUCGGUCUCCACAUCCUGAACGAAGGCUACUUCACAAACAGUUCCGUGUUCGCUCAGUUUGAGACUACAGUGUAUUGCACUGGGUCAACGGUUCAUGUCUUUGUGAGUCCAACCACCAAAAAAAGCAAUGGACAUGCCCAAAGAUAGCAUGUUCCUCACUAUGUUAGUCACUACGCCCCUCUUCUGGAAGGAUUGGACUUGCAAUUAAAUGCCUGUGUGUCUACACUAAGAA